GAUGAAGAACGCAGCGAAAUGCGAUACGUAAUGUGAAUUGCAGAAUUCAGUGAAUCAUCGAAUCUUUGAACGCAUAUUGCGCUCUUUGGUAUUCCGAAGAGCGUGCUUGUUUGAGUAUCAGUAAACACCUCAAAGCUUUUGGAUUUUUUAAUCGAAAAGCUUUGGACUUGAGCAAUCCCAACACCAAUCUUUUUGAGAUCGGUGGCGGGUUGCUUGAAAUGCAGGUGCAGCUGGACAUUCUCCUGAGCUAAAAGCAUAUUCAUUUAGUCCCGUCAAACGGAUUAUUACUUUUGCUGCAGCUAACAUAAAGGGAGUUUGACCGUAUUGGCUGACUGAUGCAGGAUUUCACAAGGGUCGGCAACGAUUCUUGUUAAACUCGAUCUCAAAUCAAGUAAGACUACCCGCUGAACUUAAGCAUAUCAAUAAGCGGAGGA
rnacentral:misc_RNA from 1 species